rnacentral:ribozyme from 1 species
CGUCGUCGUCGUCGUCGCUGCCGAACCUGCUCUUCCUGCACGGCUCUUACCACGGCG